GCGCGGGUGCCAGGGAGGCCGGCAGGGGCGUCCGCGGUCGCUGCUCACCUGCGCUCCCCGCUGCCCGGCCCAGCCCGCCUCGCCACCGAGUCUGGAAGCCCACACUCACCCCUUUACCCGGGAAACGCGGCCGGAGCCGGCGGCGGGUCGGGAGUCCGAGAUGGUAGAUCCCCCUCCAGGCGCCUCGCUGACAUUUUGUCCCGGACGGAAAACCUCCGCGCGUGCCCCUUAAAGACACAGCGCUGCAUUCACACGUCUGCGGGGAAAGGGGGGCCGUCACGUGUGGCCUUCGCCCGAAAGCGGUAGGGGAGUCGCUCUGAAACCGCCAAGGAUCGCGAGCGACAGAUUUGUGUUGGCCAGGGUUUUAAGAUGACGCAAUAGCUGAGUGUGGUUGAAAUGUAACUAUUGUUUUACAACUUUGCAUUAACCUUCCAAGACCUGAAUUCCCGGGCCUGAGUCUCAGAGCGCGGUUUGCAUCUUUGCAGGCUGUAGGCGCAUGAUGUCACAAGUUAUUGGAAGAAAUCCCUCCAACCUAGGUUGGGACAGAUGAAGGCGGCGCUUAUUGGUGUUCACCAAAACACCAGCAUGGUGUACCAGCUUUGGCUAGAUGAUGCUCAGACGGGCCUGUCUAAUUGCAGGAAAACAAACUCAGGGCUCCCACUGAUUCUACAUUACGAACACCAGAGACUGGAUAAAUACCUGGAGUGGGAUUGCUAGAUCACAUGCUAAAUCCUACUCAUCCUUCGAGACUCUGUUCAGAUUGUUCAUCUCCUGUAAAUCUUUUGCACCCAUUCCUACUUACUGAUUACUUCCAUUUAAAAAAAAAUUAAAUUAUAUGUUGUUUAAUGUAAUAUGUUAAAAUAGUAUAAUUUCAACAUGCUAUCAAUAUAAAAAUGAUACUUCACAUUUUUCUGUACCAAAUAUUUGAAACCCAGCACGUAUUUUAUAUUUACAAUGAAUCAUAAUUGGAAGUAGGCUCAUUUCCAGUGCUUAGUGGCUAGUGGCUACUGUACUGGACAGCACAGGUUUACAAUCUAACCUUCAGUGUGAUACUCACCUUAAAAUGUACAAAAAGAGGUACAUAAUAGUUGAUCCAAAAUUAAAUAAUGCUGUGUUAAAAUGGGAAGUGAAAGACAAAAUAUCGUAGCAUUUGGACAUUAUCUGAUUACCAAGAGACAUUUUACUGUGAUUGAAGAGUGGCUAAGCAAAUCUUUUUGACAUCAUUUUUACAAACACAUUGCAGACUGGUUUUCUCUUUCCAUUAUCUCGUUGAAAGUCUGUCUGGGCACCUAGUUAUUUUGUUCUAUUUCUCCACUUAACAGUUGUUGUUCAUUCUGACCUAUCUCAAAAUAAUAAGAGCUAUUUGUGACAAACCUACAGCCAAUAUGAUACUGAACGGGCAAAAACUGGAAGCAUUCUCUUUGAAAACAAGACAAGGAUGCCCUCUCUCACUACUUCUAUUCAACAUAGUCUUGGAAGUUCUGGCUAAGGCAAUCAGGCAAGAGAAAGAAAUAAAGUGUAUUCAAUUGGAAAAGAGGAAGUCAAAUUGUCCCUGUUUGCAGAUGACAUGAUUGUAUAUUUAGAAAGCCCCAUCAUCUCAGCCCAAAAUCUCCUUAAGCUGAUAAGCAACUUCAGCAAAGUCUCAGGAUACAAAAUCAAUAUGCAAAAAUCACAAGCAUUCCUAUACACCAAUAAUAGACAAACAGAGAGCCAAAUCAUGACUGCCCUCCCAUUCACGAUUGCUUCAAAAGAAUAAAAUACCUAGGAAUCCAACUUAAAAAGGAUGUGACGGACUUCUUCAAGGAGAACUACAAACCACUGCUCAAUGAAAUAAAAGAGGACACAAACAAAUGGAAGAAUAUUCAAUGCUCAUGGAUAGGAAGAAUCAAUAUCAUGAAAAUGGCCAUACUGCCCAAGGUAAUUUAUAGAUUCAAUGCUAGCUAUCCCCAUCAAACCACCACUGACUUUCUUCACAGAAUUGGAAAAAACUACUUUAAAGUUCAUAUGGAACCAAAAAAGAGCCUGCAUUGCCAAGACAAUCCUAAGCAAAAAGAACAAACCUGGAGGCAUCAUGCUACCUGACUAUACUACAAGGCUACAGUAACCAAAAGAGCAUGGUACUUGGACCAAAACAGAUAUAUAGACCAAUGGAACAGAACAGAGGCCUCAGAAAUAACACCACACAUCUACAACCAUCUGACCUUUGACAAACCUGACAAAAACAAGCAAUGGGGAAAGGAUUCCCUGUUUAAUAAAUGGUGCUGGGAAAACUGGCUAGCCUUAUGUAGAAAGGUGAAACUGGAUCCCUUCCUUACACUGUAUACAAAAGUUAACUCAAGAUGGAUUAACGACUUAAUGUAAGACCUAAAACCAUAAAAACCCUAGAAGAAAACCUAGGCAAUACCAUUUAGGACGUAGGCAUGGGCAAAGACUUCAUGACUACAACACCAAAAGCAAUGGCAACAAAAGCCAAAAUAGACAAAUGGAAUCUAAUUAAACUAAAGAGCUUCUGCACAGCAAAAGAAACUAUCAUUAGAGUGAACAAGCAACCUACAGAAUGGGAAACAAUUUUUGCAAUCUACCCAUCUGCCAAAGGGCUAGUAUCCAGAAUCUACAAAGAACUUAAACAAAUUUAUAAGAGAAAAACAAAGAAACCCAUCAAAAAAUGGGCAAAGGAUAUGAACAGACACUUCUCAAAAGAAGACAUUUAUGCAGCCAACAGACACAUGAAAAAACGCUCAUCAUCAUGGUCAUCAGAUAAAUGCAAAUCAAAACCAUAGUGAGAUACCAUCACACCAGUUAGAAUGGCGGCCAUUAAAAAGUCAGGAAACAACAGAUGCUGGAGAGGAUGUGGAGAAAUAGGAAUGCUUUUACACUGUUGGUGGGAGUGUAAAUUAGUUCAACCAUUGUGGAAGACAGUGUGGUGAUUCCUUAAGGAUCUAGAACUAGAAAUACCAUUUGACCCAGCAAUUCCAUUACUGGGUAUAUACCCAAAGGAUUAUAAAUCAUGCUACUAUGAAGACACAUGCACACAUAUGUUUAUUGUGGCACUAUUCACAAUAGCAAAGACUUGGAACCAACCCUGAUGUCCAUCAAUGAUAGAUUGGAUUAAGAAAAUGUGGCACAUAUACACCAUGGAAUACUAUGCAGCCAUAAAAAAGGAUGAGUUCAUGUCCUUUGCAGGGACAUGGAUGAAGCUGGAAACCAUCAUUCUCAGCAAACUAUCACAAGGACAGAAAACCAAACACCGCAUGUUCUCACUCAUAGGUGGGAGUUGAACAAUGAGAACACAUGGACACAGGGCAGGGAACAUCACACACCAGGGCCUGUUGAGGGGUUGGGGGGCUGGGGGAGGGAUAGCAUUAGGAGAAAUACCUAAUGUAAAUUAUGAGUUGAUGGGUGCAGCAUAUCAACAUGGCACAUGUAUACCUAUGUAACAAACCUGCACGUUGUGCACAUGUACGCUAGAACCGAAAGUAUAUUAAAAAAAAAGAUUUAAACAUUUUAAAAUCUAUAAUAGACGAGAGGAAAGUUAAAAAAAUAAAAUCCAAUUGAAAUUAAAUUCUAGAAGAUUAAUGUUGCCAGUUAUAUUUUGAUGACAACAAUAAACAUAAUGCAAUUUUGUUAACUUAUUGCUUUAAAAUGCAAGUUGAUAACCAACAAUGGUACCAUUUUAGCACAGGUAACUAACUACUUGUGUUUGAGUUUCCCAAGAGAUAACCUGAAUUGCAAUAAUGAAGAGGCACAUAACUCAUUAAUGUUUUUUAGUCUCUUAAAUAACAUUAAAAUUGUCUCAGAGUCUCUAGUAUAUUUAACAAUUAUAUAAAGAAAAAAAAAGAGUUGUUCAUCCUGCCAUUCAGUAAAUACCUGCUGACACCUUAUUGGCCAAAUGUGCCAGAUGCAGGGAUGUGAAAUAUACCCCAUGUCUGCUUUCACAAAGCUUCCAAAGUAGUGAUAAAGAGAAAGAGAGUGAAAGACAUGGGAAAACAUAUCUUUGUGUUUUAUUUGAUGAUUAUCAUUCUGUGUCUAUUAUUUGUUUGAAUAUUAGUUUACCCCCAUUUCUUUAACUGGAGUGAGAGGAAUGGACUAUAUCUUCUUAUUCUUUUUAUCUUCUUGGGACCUAGGAGAAUGCCUUAAUAAAUACGUGUGGAAUCCA
ensembl:lncRNA ZBED3-AS1 ZBED3 antisense RNA 1